UAGAGUUUGAUCCUGGCUCAGGACGAACGCUGGCGGCGUGCUUAACACAUGCAAGUGGAGCGACGAACCAGGGCUUGCCCUGGGGCAGAGCCGCGAACGGGUGAGUAACACGUGGGUUACCUGCCUCGAUGACCGGGACAACCCGAGGAAACUCGGGCUAAUACCGGAUGUGCCCGCAAGGGGAAAGGAAGCUUCGGCCUCCGCAUCGAGAUGGGCCCGCGGCCCAUUAGCUUGUUGGUGAGGUAACGGCUCACCAAGGCUUCGAUGGGUAGCUGGUCUGAGAGGACGAUCAGCCACACUGGGGCUGAGACACGGCCCAGACUCCUACGGGAGGCAGCAGUGGGGAAUCUUGCGCAAUGCGCGAAAGCGUGACGCAGCAACGCCGCGUGGGGGAAGAAGGCUUUCGGGUUGUAAACCCCUUUCAGUUGGGACGAAGCUUCGGCGGUGAACAGCCGACCGGAGUGACGGUACCUUCACAAGAAGCACCGGCUAACUACGUGCCAGCAGCCGCGGUAGCCCAAUCGCC
rnacentral:rRNA from 1 species